UAAUCUGAAAUUAAAAUGAGCAAACAAUGAAUUAAUUUUAUUCAUAGAUAUGGAUUAUGAUUAUUUCUGUAAUAAGACUUUAUUUACUUUUUUAAAUCUUUUAUUAACAAGAUACUAUACUGUUUAAUUUUCUUCAAAAGGUAAUGGCACUAGCCGGAUUCAAGUGGCCCAGGAUGGGCUGUGCUCCUGCUGCUGUGAUCCGAGCGGGUACAUUGGACGGUCCUGGCCCAGGCAUAAGUCGCUGGAGGAUAGGGAAAGGCUGUAACAGACAUUCUGGUGGAAGAAUGGACAGAGAGGACAUAAUGCUGCCGGCACACUGACAGACUGAGGCAAUGGUUAACUCAUGUAAACUUUUACAGUGGGGCCAGUGUCUUGUGCUGGAUAAAGAUAUGCUUCCACAAA